GUGCUCAAUUCAGCAGCAAAUAUUCUAAAAAUUGAAUGAUACAAAGAUUAACAUGGCACUUGUGAAGGAUAACAUGAAAAUUCAUGAGUUAUCACACAUGUUU